rnacentral:lncRNA from 1 species
AAGAAGCUUCCCGAGUCUCACCACUCACAAUCAUCCCAGAGGACUCAAUCAAGGUCAUCAAAUUACCCAAUGAGCUGCAGGCAGAAAGCAUUAGAAUUUUGGAUCUCAAUAUCCGUCACGGGCUCAUGUGUUUGAACACUGCUAGCUGAUACUACUGUUCGGAGAGAUGGCAGAACUUUCGGGAGGUGAGAUUUAGCUGGAAGAAUUAGGACUUAAGGCCAUUGCUGGAUCAAGGAAGAAAGCAGAACAGGUGAACAGGAGCAGCCAUCUCCCCAGCAGACCCAAGAGAGCAUCAUACAUAGUAAACGGAAUCUCUCCACACUGGGAUUCUAUUGCAACAACUGGAUGCUCCCCUACUGUGUAAGCUGUCUCAGACAAACCCCACAGAACAGAUGGAACAACCCACCACUCCAAACAUCUCUUCCUGGCUCUUUGCUGGAACCCCAGGGGGCAAGAUAUCCACAACCACUAGAAACAAUGUCUUCCGACUCCUAAGCAGACACUGUGUCAGCCUCCAGCCUCCCACCGGCUGCAAAGAAUAAAAAUAAAUGAACCAAAGACCAGACCAUCUUGAAACUUUUAAAAGUUGAUGCCUGCAUUUGUUGGUACAAUGAGAAUGGACAGAACCUGGACUUUGCUGGAAGGGGCCUGGAGAUUGGGGGGUGGAGGUUACAUUGUCAUUUCUGCACAGAAUAGUUCUGCAUUCUGUGUUCUGUGGCAGAAAGGCAGCAAGUGCUAGUUUUGGCCUUCUGUCCCAGGCAGUACUUUGGGAGAUUCUAGUGUAAAGCUUUUAUGCUUUUUCUCCAGGUUCUUUCAGUUACUGUAACUUCUGCUCCAAGGGGGUGAAAUU